GUGGAAUGCUGCUCACAGUUCUACUUGAUUUUGGACAGAAGACUGGCAGCACAAUUAACUGAACUCUCACUAUCAACUUAUCUCCAAGCUACAAACAGAUGAAGAAAACAAGAAAAACAAAACCAACCCAAACACAGUAGCAAAAACCAAAGACCAGGAGGUUAAAAGCACAAACAAAACAACAAUUAGAUGACCUCAUUAGACGACCACAGGGGGAAGCCAGGUUAUUGCUCUCGUUUCUUCUCUCUCCUCUUCAGACUGAUCUGUUCUCCCUAAAUAGUCCCGUGCAUCUCCUACAGCCUCAAAAGCAAGCCUGUCCUCCUUCAAUUCCUGUGGACGAUGCACAGACUAGCCAGUCUAGCACAGUCCCACAUGUCAGAGUGUCCUGCUGGCCAGGACCACUGCCACAGAUCCCCGGAAGUAGCCACAUCCUCCCUCCUUGUCACCCACCUGCAGUGUGUAGAAAAAGGACUGAGUUGGAGGACACCCAGAAAGCCCAAGAUCAGUGUGAAAGAAUGACUCCUUUCCAUUAUGUUUUACAGUGACUGUUUCUUCAGUUUGUUCUGUGUUCCCUCCAGGCUCUGCAGGGGUUAAAAAGGUAGCAACCUCUAAUGCCAAGUCUGAGGUAAAGGUUGUCUGCUACCGAGUUUUGGAGGUAAAGUUAUAGUGUUGUGAUUGGUUAUCUCCAGGCAGAGACAGAAGGUUCUGGCUGCCUGAGGGAAGCAAUUCCUUGACUGGUUAAAUGUAUCCCUUUGGAACUGGAUAAAAGGGAGGGUUGAGCCGCCAAAAGGAGGAGGGCUGUGGGAGAAGAGUUCUGUGAGAGAAGAGUGUGCUGCUGAGUGUUGUGUGAGCCGGAAUGUGAGAACACCAGCAGGGUUGGGUCGGGCUGAAACUGGUAGGGAAAGUAGCAGUGAGGGAACUGGUCCUACUGGAACCUGCUAGCCCUUGGGAGAGAAGGCUAGCAAGCUUCUUGUUUGGAAAUUUGAACUCUGUACUCUUGACAACUGAACUUUUCAACAUUUGUUCCUGUAGUUCUUUUAAUUCUUGCAACCUUUUAUAAUAGUAAACCUGUUCUUGUUUUUAUACAA